UACGUAGGGGGCGAGCGUUGUUCGGAAUUACUGGGCGUAAAGCGAGUGUAGGUGGUUGUCCAAGUUGGAUGUGAAAGCCUUGAGCUCAACUCAAGAAAUGCAUUCAGGACUGGGCGGCUAGAGGACCGGAGAGGAUAGUGGAAUUCCCAGUGUAGUGGUGAAAUACGUAGAGAUUGGGAAGAACACCAGUGGCGAAGGCGGCUAUCUGGACGGUUUCUGACACUAAGACUCGAAAGCGUGGGGAGCAAACAGG
rnacentral:rRNA from 1 species